ACGCUCGACACCUACGGGAGCAGCAGUAGGGAAUCUUCCACAAUGGGCGCAAGCCUGAUGGAGCAACACCGCGUGAGUGAAGAAGGGUUUCGGCUCGUAAAGCUCUGUUGUUGGAGAAGAACGUGCGUGAGAGUAACUGUUCACGCAGUGACGGUAUCCAACCAGAAAGUCACGGCUAACUACGUGUCAGCAGCCGCGGUAAUCUGAGCGGGCUGGCAAGGC
rnacentral:rRNA from 1 species